GAUGAACGCUGGCGGCGUGCUUAAUACAUGCAAGUCGAACGAAGAGCUUUGUAGCAAUACGGAGCUUCUUAGUGGCGAACGGGUGCGUAACGCGUUGGUGACCCGCCCCGAAGUGUGGAAUAACAGUUCGAAAGGACUGCUAAUACCGCAUGUGGUUCUCCGGGUUAGAGGCUGGAGUUCUAAAGCAGUAAUGCGCUUCGGGAGGGACCUGCGUCCCAUCAGCUAGUUGGUGAGGUAAUGGCCCACCAAGGCUACGACGGGUAGGGGACCUGAGAGGGUGGUCCCCCACACUGGCACUGGAACACGGGCCAGACACCUACGGUGGCAGCAGUAGGGAAUAUUGGGCAAUGGGCGAAAGCCUGACCCAGCAACGCCGCGUGCAUGAUGAAGGUCUUCGGAUCGUAAAAUGCUUUUCUGAGAGAUGAGAAAGGACAGUAUCUCAGGGAUAAGUCUCGGCUAACUACGUGCCAGCCGCCGCCGUAAUAC
rnacentral:rRNA from 1 species